CUGGGUGGCUUCGGCCUAAACCCCCUAACCAUUGUGAAACGAUUCCAGCGGCUUAGCUGGUGGCAGGUGAAUAACUGCCCCUGGCGGCACGCGAGACUCUUCUAAUGUUAUCUCUGAGUUACUUUUUAAAUAAGUCA
rnacentral:misc_RNA from 1 species